UGCUUCUGAUCUUCAGUGUGAUUCUGUUGGUGAUCGUCUCUCUCUGGAGGAGGCGUCAGUCUCACGACGCUCAUCCCUCAUCCAGAAGAUCUCACAGGACUCCAGCAAACACUGACGCGGCUUCUAAUUAUCAUUGUGAUUACGAGGAGACUGAAGACAAUCGUAGACAAUUACCCACAAACCCCUCUGAUUCUACUAAUGCAAUCUAUGCUAAUCCAGAAUUACCCAUAAACCCCUCUGAUUCUACUAAUGCAAUCUAUGCUAAUCCAGAAUUACCCAUAAACC
rnacentral:lncRNA from 1 species